AAACAAAAACAAAAAAAGUGCCAAGUGAAAGUGAAGACACAGCCACGUGGAGAGAAAGCCAUGUGCAGAGGGUGCCGUGAUGCAGCUGGAAACCAAGGAACGCCAAUGAUUGCCCUCCAGGAACAGGUUUCUGACACAGAGCUCCCAAUCCCCUUGGCACUUCCUGGGUGACAGGAGCAUCUUUUGUUCUAAGGAGAUGACUCUCAGUGGACUCCUGGAUGGGGGCUGGUCGCCAGAAAGACCAAGCCAUGGUUAGAAUCCUGGAUCUUUCAGCCCUACUCCUCAUUCCCUGAAGAUGGGAGAAGGGCUGGAAAUGGAGUUAAUAAUCGAUCAUGUCUAUGUGAUGAAGCUUCCAUCAAAACCCCUGAACUAUGGGAGUGUGGAGAGCUUGUGCACUGCUGAGUACAUGGAGGGUGGUGUCCCUGAGAGGACAAGGAUGCUGUGUCCCUUCCCCCAUUCCUUGCCCUCUGCAUCUCUCCCAUCUGGCGUUUCCUCUGUAUCGUUUGUAAUAUUGUUAUAAUAAACUGGUAAAUGUACCUAAAGUGCUUUCGUGAAUUCUGUGAGCCACUCUAGCAAAUGAUCAAACCUGAAAAAGGGGUUAUGAGAACCUCCGAUUUAUAGCAAACAGAUCAGAAGAUCCAGAAGCCCAGAUUUG
rnacentral:lncRNA from 1 species